rnacentral:rRNA from 1 species
GACGAACGCUGGCGGCGUGCUUAACACAUGCAAGUCGAACGAAGUGGCGAACGGGUGAGUAACGAGUAAUCAACCUGCCCAUCAGAGGGGGACAACAGUUGGAAACGACUGCUAAUACCGAAUCCUGAAGGAGGGGAAUGGGUCUGCUUAGCUAGUUGGAGGGGUAACGGCCCAACAAGGCGAUGAUCAGUAGCCGGUCUGAGAGACUGAACAGCCACAUUGGGACUGAGACACGGCCCAAACUCCGACGGGAGGCAGCAGUGGGGAAUCUUCCGCAAUGGACGAAAGUCUGACGGAGCAACGCCGCGUGAGUGAUGACGGCCUUCGGGUUGUAAAGCUCUGUUAAUCGGGACGCGGUACCGGAAUAGAAAGCCACGGCUAACUACGUGCCAGCAGCCGCGGUAAUUC